UGCCAGCAGCCGCGGUAAUACGAAGGGUGCUAGCGUUGUUCGGAAUUACUGGGCGUAAAGAGCAUGUAGGCGGAUCGACAAGUUGGGGGUGAAAUCCCGGGGCUUAACCCCGGAACUGCCCUCAAAACUGUCGAUCUAGAGACCGGGAGAGGUAAGCGGAAUUCCUAGUGUAGAGGUGAAAUUCGUAGAUAUUAGGAAGAACACCAGUGGCGAAGGCGGCUCACUGGCUCGAUACUGACGCUGAGGUGCGAAAGCGUGGGGAGCAAACAGGAUUAGAUA
rnacentral:rRNA from 1 species